rnacentral:rRNA from 1 species
GGACUACCCGGGUUUCUAAUCCUGUUUGCUCCCCACGCUCUCGCGCAUCAGCGUCAGUAUUUGUCCAGGUAGCCGCCUUCGCCACUGGUGUUCCUUCCGAUCUCUACGCAUUUCACCGCUACACCGGAAAUUCCACUACCCUCUACAAUACUCUAGCCUUGCAGUAUGAGAUGCAGUUCCUAGGUUAAGCCCAGGGAUUUCACAUCUCACUUACAUGACCGCCUACGCGCCCUUUACGCCCAGUAAAUCCGAUUAACGCUCGCACCCUCUGUAUUACCGCGGCUGCUGGCAC